GGACGAACGCUGGCGGCGUGCCUAAUACAUGCAAGUCGAACGAGAGCAACCGGUGCUUGCACUGGUCAAUCUAGUGGCGACCGGGUGAGUAACACGUGGGUAACCUGCCCAUCAGAGGGGGAUAACAUCCGGAAACGGAUGCUAAAACCGCAUAGGUCUUCGAACCGCAUGGUUUGAAGAGGAAAAGAGGCGCAAGCUUCUGCUGAUGGAUGGACCCGCGGUGCAUUAGCUAGUUGGUGAGGUAACGGCUCACCAAGGCCGUGAUGCAUAGCCGACCUGAGAGGGUGAUCGGCCACAUUGGGACUGAGACACGGCCCAAACUCCUACGGGAGGCAGCAGUAGGGAAUCUUCCGCAAUGGACGCAAGUCUGACGGAGCAACGCCGCGUGAGUGAAGAAGGUUUUCGGAUCGUAAAACUCUGUUGUUAGAGAAGAACAAGUGCUAGAGUAACUGUUAGCGCCUUGACGGUAUCUAACCAGAAAGCCACGGCUAACUACGUG
rnacentral:rRNA from 1 species